GCAGCCUUGUGGAUACCCUGCUGUCCGGGAAGGAGGGCAGCCUUGUGGAUACCCUGCUGUCCGGGAAGGAGGGCAGCCUUGUGGAUACCCUGCUGUCCGGGAAGGAGGGCAGUCUUGUGGAUACCCUGCUGUCAGGGAAGGAGGGAAGUCUUGUGGAUACCCUGCUGUCUGGGAAGGAGGGAAGUCUUGUGGAUACCCUGCUGUCCGGGAAGGAGGGAAGUCUUGUGGAUACCCUGCUGUCUGGGAAGGAGGGAAGUCUUGUGGAUACCCUGCUGUCUGGGAAGGAGGCCUGCGGCAGGCACUGGGACAACGGAAUUCAUACAAAGAGAACAGCAGGCUCCAUCCCAAGACUUAUUCUGGUCACAUCAUCUCCAGGCAGAAGCAGGUGGAAGCCAGCGCACCUUCCCUGUUUCAUUCUUCCCCAUGCAGAGACCUCAGAAGCCUCACCAAUGACUGUGCAGCAGUAAGACCCUGAGUGACUGCGUGGAGCAGAGCCCUCUGCUGACAGCUGCGCAGCUUCCAUGGCCAUUUCAACCUGAUUAAGAACCAUUUCUGGAAGCCAGCCCAGUCAUUUGGAGGGACAUGGAUGAAUCCGGAGAACAUCAUCCUCAGCAAACUGACACAAGAACAGAAAAUGAAACACCGCAUAUUCUCACUCAUAGUUGUUUUUAAGCCCCCGUGCCCGCUGCGAAGGCUUUUGGAAGAAGCAUGAAAACAAUCUUCCUUUUUAUUAUUUUUUCUUACGUAGAAGUGACUUUAAGUUUGAGAUGAUUCUGUGUCCAGUACAUUGAGAGUGUUUUCUGGUUUUUUUUAAGAUUCAUAUUAAUGUUUUGUAUUUGGGGAGAUUAUUUGGGGAGGUACAGAUUUCAGAAACUACCGUUAUUCCUGUUAAAUAUUUUAACAAAAACAAUAUUUUGCUUUUUAAAUCUAAUAUUGUAAAUUUUUAUUAACUGUAAGAAACUUUCAAAGAUCAGAACACACACUUUGUCAAAGAAGAAAUACAAAUAACAAACAUGUGAAAAGAAAUUGUUCAAUAUUAUCAGGAAUCUUAGGUAUGAGGUUUAAACCAUAAUAGAUCAUUAAACAUUUGUAAGGUCAUUAAAAAUGCAUUGCCAAUGUUAGCUUAACACCGCUGGUCUCAGGCACUCCUAGGUACAAUAACUGAAAGUCUCAGUAUAUGGGACGAAUGUAAAAAAUGUUCCUAUAUUUAAUUUUAGCCAUUUAACUUCCAGAAAUUUAUUGUGAUCAAAUAAUAAACAAUGAAUAUAAAAUUUAUCUUUAAUGGUGUUCUGAAGAACUGUUUAUUGGCCAGAGUUGGAAAUAAGAGUUGGUUAAAUAAAUCAUGGUUUAUAUAACACAAACUAUGUCAUGUUUAGAAAAAUAUUUAGUGAUGAUAAGUAUUACUCAUAAUUUGUUUUUAGCAAAAAGGGUACAAAACUGUGUAUACAAGCAUUCCAUUUUUCUUAAGAAAUUUUGCUUGUAUGCAUGUAGAAGAAAACAAAAUAUUACCAAUAAUUUUAUCAUGCUGUACAACUGUUGGGUUUUGUUUCAUUUUUCUUUGUACUUUUAAGUUUGGCAUAUGCAUUUUUCAAUAAAAAUAUAUAAAUUUUAAAACAGAAACAUGAAUUAAAUACAUAGCCAAACUUUCUAAAUUCACUAGUUCUGAACAAAGUAUUCAAAUAAUUGUGACUUAACAGCACUGCUAGGUUAUCCUACAAAAUUGGCUCAUAUUUUUCUUUUAUCUACUGUAAAAAUUAAAGGAGUCACUUAUUAACUUAUUGAUGCCAGAAUGUGAGAUAAAUAUGUCAUAUAUUUUUAAAAUCAUAUAUAAAAUUAUUGAUAUAGACACAUUCUACGAAGUGUUUUAUAAGAAACAACAAAAUCCCCAUCACUUACUGAAAUGUGUUGGGCUGCGUUUCUGCAGUGCGGCCUUUUUCCAUAGGUGUCACCUCUCUCAGGUCAUCAGGCUCUGAUGGCCUCAUGGGUCACACCGUUGUGUCUGUGAGUCACCCCCUCCCUGCCCUUCUUUGAAGGGCCAGGUCUGCUCACACCAGUGCCACAUCCAUCCCUGCAUUGCAGGUUUCCUGGGGCCCUGCAGUGCAUUUCUAUGUCCCCAUGGGAGCCCUGCUCCCAGCUGCCUCCUCUUCACCUGUGCUUCAAUUUGGGGGCUCCUGCCCACCUGCUGAGCUCCUCAUACCUGUUUGGCCUGAACCACAUGCUUUCAGUCUCAACUCUCUGUUCCCUGCUCUCCUUCCCUUCUAAAUCCCCAGGGUGUGGCCUCCAGGCUGCACUUCAGUCUCAGAACUCUGAGUUCACAUUAGCAAGAAGCUAAUGGAGUUGUUUCUCCAUGUGCCCAAGUCAACCCAACAUUUAUCUAAUUCACCUCGGCUGCACCAGUGCCAGCAGGUCUCCUGAGUCUGUUACAAGCAUGCUUUCAUGCUAAUCUGUUAAACACACACCAGACACAACACAUAUCACACACCACACACACUACACACACCACAUGUAUCACACAUCACACCAUUCAUCAUACACUACACCCCAAAUACACCACACAUCCCAGACACACCACACACCACAGACCACAUAUCACACACACCACACCCUCCACACCAAACACACAACAAACACAUCACAUACCACACAUAAUGACACACCACGUCACACCAAACACCACAUAUCACACAUACUACAUGCCACACACACUAUACACCCCACACCACACACACCACAAACACAAUACAUACACACCACACACCACACACCACACACAUUAUAUACCACAUACCACAGACAUCACACGCCACACACCACACUGUACACACACCACACAGCACACUUAUCACAUACACCACACAUCACACACACCAUACAUCAUGCACACCACACACCCCACAUCUCACAUAGCACACACCACACACAUCACACCACACAUCACACCACACACAUCACACAGACCAAACACCACACACACCACACACCACAGACAUUACACGCCACACACACCAUACACCACACACAACACAUACAUCACAUGCACACAUCACAUAGCACAUACAGCAGACAUCACAUACCUCACAAAUCACACACCACACACCAAACAUCACACAUCACACACACACCACAUACCACCCAACACAGACAUCACAUGCAAUACACACUGCACACACUUACACACAUCAUACCCACCAUACACAUCACACACAUCACACCCCACACACACCACAAAAACCAUACACACCACACAUCACAUACAUCACACACCACAAAAACCACACACAUCACACACACCACACCGCAUAAACCACACACACCCCACACUACAAAUAUCACAGCUACACACACCAUACCACAGAUACCACUUACGACACACACGCAUGCUGAGAAACUAUUAAUCUAACAAGUCAACUGCUAAGUGCCUCACUAUGGAAUAGGCGGUGCCCCCUGAUUUACCUGCCCUUAGACAUUGGCUCACGACCCUCACGUACCUCUGUUGCAUAUAAUGAUGAAGUUUUCUGUGAUUUUGGCACACUAGCUAGUGCUUAGAGGAUCUUCCAAAAGGCAUAAAAAUGGCUUGUUACCAGUAGAAAUUAGGUCCAGGCAAAAUGCAAGAUAAAGUAA